rnacentral:rRNA from 1 species
UGCAGUCGAACGAAGUAGCAAUACUUAGUGGCAGACGGGUGAGUAACAUGUAGGUAUCUGCCCUUUGGCCUGGAAUAACACGAGGAAACUUGUGCUAAUACCGGAUAAGUCUUUACGGAGAAAGCUUUAUGCACCAUUGGAUAAGCCUGCACUUGAUUAGUUUGUUGGUGGGGUAAUGGCCUACCAAGACUGUGAUCAAUAGCUGAUUUGAGAGGAUGAUCAGCCACAUUGGGACUGAGACACGGCCCAAACUCCUACGGGAGGCAGCAGUGGGGAAUCUUGCACAAUGGAGGAAACUCUGAUGCAGCGAUGCCGCGUGAGUGAAGAAGGCCCUUGGGUUGUAAAGCUCUUUCGUCGGGGAAGAAAAUGACUGUACCCGAAUAAGAAGGUCCGGCUAACUUCGUGCCAGCAGCCGCGGUAAUACGAAGGGGCCUAGCGUAGUUCGGAAUUACUGGGCUUAAAGAGUUCGUAGGUGGUUGAAAAAGUUGGUGGUGAAAUCCCAGAGCUUAACUCUGGAACUGCCAUCAAAACUUUUCAGCUAGAGUAUGAUAGAGGAAAGCAGAAUUUCUAGUGUAGAGGUGAAAUUCGUAGAUAUUAGAAAGAAUACCGAUUGCGAAGGCAGCUUUCUGGAUCAUUACUGACACUGAGGAACGAAAGCAUGGGUAGCGAAGAGGAUUAGAUACCCUCGUAGUCCAUGCCGUAAACGAUGUGUGUUAGACGUUGGAAAUUUAUUUUCAGUGUCGCAGCGAAAGCGAUAAACACACCGCCUGGGGAGUACGACCGCAAGGUUAAAACUCAAAUGAAUUG